GGAAAGGUGGCCGAGUGGCUUAAGGCGCACGCUUGGAAAGCGUGUAUACGGCAACGUAUCGGGGGUUCGAAUCCCUUCCUUUCCG
rnacentral:tRNA from 1 species